rnacentral:rRNA from 1 species
GGUUAAGCGACUAAGCGUACACGGUGGAUGCCCUGGCAGUCAGAGGCGAUGAAGGACGUGCUAAUCUGCGAUAAGCGUCGGUAAGGUGAUAUGAACCGUUAUAACCGGCGAUUUCCGAAUGGGGAAACCCAGUGUGUUUCGACACACUAUCAUUAACUGAAUCCAUAGGUUAAUGAGGCGAACCGGGGGAACUGAAACAUCUAAGUACCCCGAGGAAAAGAAAUCAACCGAGAUUCCCCCAGUAGCGGCGAGCGAACGGGGAGCAGCCCAGAGCCUGAAUCAGUGUGUGUGUUAGUGGAAGCGUCUGGAAAGGCGCGCGAUACAGGGUGACAGCCCCGUACACAAAAAUGCACAUGCUGUGAGCUCGAUGAGUAGGGCGGGACACGUGGUAUCCUGUCUGAAUAUGGGGGGACCAUCCUCCAAGGCUAAAUACUCCUGACUGACCGAUAGUGAACCAGUACCGUGAGGGAAAGGCGAAAAGAACCCCGGCGAGGGGAGUGAAAAAGAACCUGAAACCGUGUACGUACAAGCAGUGGGAGCACGCUUCGGCGUGUGACUGCGUACCUUUUGUAUAAUGGGUCAGCGACUUAUAUUCUGUAGCAAGGUUAACCGAAUAGGGGAGCCGAAGGGAAACCGAGUCUUAACUGGGCGUUAAGUUGCAGGGUAUAGACCCGAAACCCGGUGAUCUAGCCAUGGGCAGGUUGAAGGUUGGGUAACACUAACUGGAGGACCGAACCGACUAAUGUUGAAAAAUUAGCGGAUGACUUGUGGCUGGGGGUGAAAGGCCAAUCAAACCGGGAGAUAGCUGGUUCUCCCCGAAAGCUAUUUAGGUAGCGCCUCGUGAAUUCAUCUCCGGGGGUAGAGCACUGUUUCGGCAAGGGGGUCAUCCCGACUUACCAACCCGAUGCAAACUGCGAAUACCGGAGAAUGUUAUCACGGGAGACACACGGCGGGUGCUAACGUCCGUCGUGAAGAGGGAAACAACCCAGACCGCCAGCUAAGGUCCCAAAGUCAUGGUUAAGUGGGAAACGAUGUGGGAAGGCCCAGACAGCCAGGAUGUUGGCUUAGAAGCAGCCAUCAUUUAAAGAAAGCGUAAUAGCUCACUGGUCGAGUCGGCCUGCGCGGAAGAUGUAACGGGGCUAAACCAUGCACCGAAGCUGCGGCAGCGACGCUUAUGCGUUGUUGGGUAGGGGAGCGUUCUGUAAGCCUGUGAAGGUGUGCUGUGAGGCAUGCUGGAGGUAUCAGAAGUGCGAAUGCUGACAUAAGUAACGAUAAAGCGGGUGAAAAGCCCGCUCGCCGGAAGACCAAGGGUUCCUGUCCAACGUUAAUCGGGGCAGGGUGAGUCGACCCCUAAGGCGAGGCCGAAAGGCGUAGUCGAUGGGAAACAGGUUAAUAUUCCUGUACUUGGUGUUACUGCGAAGGGGGGACGGAGAAGGCUAUGUUGGCCGGGCGACGGUUGUCCCGGUUUAAGCGUGUAGGCUGGUUUUCCAGGCAAAUCCGGAAAAUCAAGGCUGAGGCGUGAUGACGAGGCACUACGGUGCUGAAGCAACAAAUGCCCUGCUUCCAGGAAAAGCCUCUAAGCAUCAGGUAACAUCAAAUCGUACCCCAAACCGACACAGGUGGUCAGGUAGAGAAUACCAAGGCGCUUGAGAGAACUCGGGUGAAGGAACUAGGCAAAAUGGUGCCGUAACUUCGGGAGAAGGCACGCUGAUAUGUAGGUGAAGUC